CUCCAAUGUUUUUCNGAUGCUCACUUCCA
rnacentral:piRNA from 1 species